rnacentral:sRNA from 1 species
CAGUCAGAGAGGAAGUCAGAGACCAUUUGGACGUAUGGCCAGCAGCUCACUUCAUGGAGGAACAAGAUUGCAGGGACGGUUCACUGGGAAACAUCGAUGACCUGGCGCAGCAGUAUGCAGAUUAUUACAACACCUGUUUCUCUGAUGUGUGCGAGAGGAUGGAGGAGCUGCGGAAACGGCGGGUUUCCCAGGACCUGGAAUUGGAGAAACCCGAUGCUAGCCCCACGUCACUUCAGCUGCGGUCCCAGAUCGAAGAGUCGCUUGGCUUCUGUAGCGCCGUGUCAACACCAGAAGUGGAAAGAAAGUAAGUCUUUCUCCCUCUGCCCAGGACCACUUUCCAAGAAGGUGUCUUUUAGGUCCAUGCUGACGGAAAUCAAACAGGCAAUCGUGUGCGUAUGUACUAUGGAGUUUGAUGUCAUUUUCCUUAACAUGUUACAUGCAUGUGUGUGUAUCUAGGUGGCUAAGAGUGUGUUUUGUAAUGCAGUUGGUGAUGUCUAAGGAUUUUGUGAAGAGUUACUGAUUUUACACUUAUUGUGAAUAAACCCUAAAUAAAUCUCCGGAAAUAGAAAGGGAAAGGAUAGGUGCAUU